rnacentral:rRNA from 1 species
AGAGUUGUAUCCUGGCUCAGAAUGAACGCUGGCGGCGUGCUUAACACAUGCAAGUCGAACGAGAACGGGACUAGCUUGCUAGUCUGUCAGCUAAGUGGCGCACGGGUGAGUAAUGUAUAGGCAACCUGCCCCCUAGAGUGGGAUAACGUUUGGAAACGGACGCUAAUACUGCAUACUCCUUCUUUUCACAAGAAGAGAAGGGAAAUGAAUUUCGCUAGGGGAUGGGCCUUUAUUGUAUCAGCUAGUUGGUGGGGUAACGGCCUACCAAGGCUAUGACACAUAGCUGAUCUGAGAGGAUGAUCAGCCACACUGGUACUGAGACACGGACCAGACUCCUACGGGAGGCAGCAGUGGGGAAUAUUGCACAAUGGGGGAAACCCUGAUGCAGCAACGCCGCGUGGAGGAUGACACAUUUCGGUGCGUAAACUCCUUUUAUAGGUCAAGAUAAUGACGGUAGCCUAUGAAUAAGCACCGGCUAACUCCGUGCCAGCAGCCGCGGUAAUACGGAGGGUGCAAGCGUUAUUCGGAAUCACUGGGCGUAAAGAGCAUGUAGGCGGGUUCAUAAGUCAGGUGUGAAAUCCUAUGGCUCAACCAUAGAACUGCACUUGAAACUGUGAACCUAGAGUAUGGAAGGGGCAGAUGGAAUUAGUGGUGUAGGGGUAAAAUCCGUAGAGAUCACUAGGAAUAC